rnacentral:sRNA from 1 species
ACUCAGGGCAUUGCCCCCUCUCUACCUGAGAACUAGACUCAGCACCCAGCACUGGAUUUGAUAAUACAGGUGGGCUCUCCUCGCCAAAAAAGGCUACCAGGAGCGGGACCUGGAACCCCAGUUUUCCAUCAUCACCAAACUCAAAGGGGUUUCCGUCACUCAGAUCAAGGAGCUUGGAAACCGGCUGUGGGAUGUGGCCGACUUCGUGAAGCCACCUCAGGCUGCCGGCUUCCGGCCUUUCC